UACGGAGGAUCCAAGCGUUAUCCGGAUUUAUUGGGUUUAAAGGGUGCGUAGGCGGAUUGAUAAGUUAGAGGUGAAAUGUCCGAGCUCAACUCGGGAACUGCCUCUAGUACUGUUGAUCUAGAGAGUAGAUGCGGUAGGCGGAAUGUAUGGUGUAGCGGUGAAAUGCUUAGAGAUCAUACAGAACACCGAUUGCGAAGGCAGCUUACCAAUCUAUAUCUGACGUUGAGGCACGAAAGCGUGGGGAGCAAACAGG
rnacentral:rRNA from 1 species